rnacentral:other from 1 species
GCUUAACUACCAUGUUGGUGACUGCCUCCAUAGUUUAUGAUCUAUGCUUGAUUUAUAAGGGUUUGAGCCUGGUUAUUGUUGAAGUAGACCGUGCCUAGACUCGGAAAUGGAUGCAAAUAUCGCUUAAACCCAUCCUGGUUUUUCCAGGUCGUAAACUAGGGUAAAACGGCUUGGCGGUUAACUA